GGGAUAUAAUAAAUUCUGAAAUUUGAAAAAUGAAAACAUGCUAUAAGUGGGAAAAUUGGAAGAGUUGCCACACUAGAUACUUGGUCAAGCCCUGCCUUCAAGCAGUUCAGCUGUGGAUCUGUCAUUGAUUCUCAAGGCCUGGCAUCUUGUGUAUCUCAGCAUUUUUGGCAGUGUCUGGAAGAAGAGAGCAUAACUGAGCAGAUGCAGCUGUGCUCACUGGAGCGUGGGUGGAGCCAAAGAAGAAUAUACCUGCAAAGCUUUCAGGAUCACCUCCCAGGCUUGUAAAUACGUGGGCCCCUGAAUUAUCUGUUGUGAGGCUGUUAUCUAGAAGCAGGGGUUUGGGGUUUGAAG
rnacentral:lncRNA from 1 species